rnacentral:lncRNA from 1 species
AAACAAAGGAAGGCAGAUUUGAGAGGAUGCAGAGAAAUGUAACUGGAACACUGAUCUUACUAUAUUGAAGAUCAGAAAUGGGACCAUCUUGGGAAACAUCAAGCAUCCUCUAUUAGAUUUAUGUGUGAAGAGGUAUUCCAGACAUUUCACUGGUUCCUGUGGACAGAUGCAUAGAGGAGUGUGGGAAUUGGUAAGGUAAACAUGGAAACAGU